GCGCUGUUUUCAAAUUUCAUUUUCUUCCGGUUUUGUCCAGCACCACGAGAACAUGAGGACGCGGCGAAAAGUUGGACAAUGAUCACAAGACUCCUACCGUGAAUCUGGCGCAGUUUAUCAGGGGUUCCCUACACUGGUCCUCGAAGACAGCUGGUCAACAUGUUUUCCAGCAUCUCUGCCCAUCAUCCACCUGCUGUGUGUUCAGUCAGAGCUAAAAAUGACCAUUUCAGGGUGAAUAACAGUCAGUCAUCUGUCAGACAGAAUUCAAUACUCUUUCUCCUGGCCAACUAAUUGUCUCCAGUGCAAAUGAUCCUUUGUCAUCCCACUCCCUGAGGACACUCCAGAGUAGUAAUUGUCAUUGUGGACUCCAGCAGGUCUACAUGUUCUGUUAAGAGACUGGAUUCUGAGAGCGAGAUCCUGUGAAGUGUUCAUCAAAGCUGAAGAGAAGA